rnacentral:rRNA from 1 species
UACGUAGGGCGCGAGCGUUGUCCGGAUUUAUUGGGCGUAAAGAGCUCGUAGGCGGCUCGUUGCGUCGGCUGUGAAAACCCGCAGCUCAACUGUGGGCUUGCAGCUGAUACGGGCGGGCUGGGAUUCGGUAGGGGAGACUGGAAUUUCUGGUGUAGCGGUGAAAUGCGCAGAUAUCAGGAGGAACACCGGUGGCGAAGGCGGGUCUCUGGGCCGAUAUCGACGCUGAGGAGCGAAAGCGUGGGGAGCGAACAGG